UGCGGGAGUAGCUCAGUUGGUAGAGCGCAACCUUGCCAAGGUUGAGGUCGCGAGUUCGAGACUCGUCUCCCGCUCC
rnacentral:tRNA from 1 species